GGUAGUCGAAGGCUUUCCUUGUCCUUCGUGAUUGAUGAUGAUGCUAAUGUGUGCUCUGCUCACAGUGCUCGCUCGACUUGCUUGUGUGUUCUCCACAGCCAUUCUUUUGUAGAGCCUGACUCGAAGGAGACCAUACGCAAGGCACCUCCUCUUCGGUUGUGAGAGUGUCCAGGGGUCGUGGGUGCGGCUAAUGCCUAUAAUUUAUAAUUUCCUGAGCAAUGCACAUGGACGAUAUCUGGAGCGGUCAAGAGGAUGAGCU